UUUGAUCAUGGCUCAGAUUGAACGCUGGCGGCAGGCCUAAACACAUGCAAGUCGAACGGGACAGGAAGAAGCUUGCUUCUUUGCUGACGAGUGGCGGACGGGUGAGUAAUGUCUGGGAAACUGCCUGAUGGAGGGGGAUAACUACUGGAAACGGUAGCUAAUACCGCAUAACGUCGCAAGACCAAAGAGGGGGACCUUCGGGCCUCUUGCCAUCGGAUGUGCCCAGAUGGGAUUAGCCUAUAGGUGGGGUAACGGCUCACCUAGGCGACGAUCCCUAGCUGGUCUGAGAGGAUGACCAGCCACACUGGAACUGAGACACGGUCCAGACUCCUACGGGAGGCAGCAGUGGGGAAUAUUGCACAAUGGGCGCAAGCCUGAUGCAGCCAUGCCGCGUGUAUGAAGAAGGCCUUCGGGUUGUAAAGUACUUUCAGCGGGGAGGAAGGGAGUAAAGUUAAUACCUUUGCUCAUUGACGUUACCCGCAGAAGAAGCACCGGCUAACUCCGUGCCAGCAGCCGCGGUAAUACGGAGGCGUGCAAGCGUAAUCGGAAUUACUGGGCGUAAAGCGCACGCAGGCGGUUUGUUAAGUCAGAUGUGAAAUCCCCGGGCUCAACCUGGGAACUGCAUCUGAUACUGGCAAGCUUGAGUCUCGUAGAGGGGGGUAGAAUUCCAGGUGUAGCGGUGAAAUGCGUAGAGAUCUGGAGGAAUACCGGUGGCGAAGGCGGCCCCCUGGACGAAGACUGACGCUCAGGUGCGAAAGCGUGGGGAGCAAACAGGAUUAGAUACCCUGGUAGUCCACGCCGUAAACGAUGUCGACUUGGAGGUUGUGCCCUUGAGGGCGUGCUUCCGGAGCUAACGCGUUAAGUCGACCGCCUGGGGAGUACGGCCGCAAGGUUAAAACUCAAAUGAAUUGACGGGGGCCCGCACAAGCGGUGGAGCAUGUGGUUUAAUUCGAUGCAACGCGAAGAACCUUACCUGGUCUUGACAUCCACGGAAGUUUUCAGAGAUGAGAAUGUGCCUUCGGGAACCGUGAGACAGGUGCUGCAUGGCUGUCGUCAGCUCGUGUUGUGAAAUGUUGGGUUAAGUCCCGCAACGAGCGCAACCCUUAUCCUUUGUUGCCAGCGGUCCGGCCGGGAACUCAAAGGAGACUGCCAGUGAUAAACUGGAGGAAGGUGGGGAUGACGUCAAGUCAUCAUGGCCCUUACGACCAGGGCUACACACGUGCUACAAUGGCGCAUACAAAGAGAAGCGACCUCGCGAGAGCAAGCGGACCUCAUAAAGUGCGUCGUAGUCCGGAUUGGAGUCUGCAACUCGACUCCAUGAAGUCGGAAUCGCUAGUAAUCGUGGAUCAGAAUGCCACGGUGAAUACGUUUCCCGGGCCUGUACACACCGCCCGUCACACCAUGGGAGUGGGUUGCAAAAGAAGUAGGUAGCUUAACCUUCGGGAGGGCGCUUACCACUUUGUGAUUCAUGACUGGGGUGAA
rnacentral:rRNA from 1 species